AUAAGCAUUAUACGGCGAAACUGGCAAUGGCUCAUUAUAUAAGUUAUCGUUUAUUUGAUAGCACAUUACUACUUGGAUAACCGUGGUAAUUCUAGAGCUAAUACAUGCUAAAAAUCCCGACUUCGGAAGGGAUGUAUUUAUUAGAUUAAAAACCAAUGCCCUCCGGGCUCUCUGGUGAAUCAUGAUAACUGCUCGAAUCGCAGGGCCUCGUGCCGGCGAUGGUUCAUUCAAAUUUCUUCCCUAUCAACUUUCGAUGUUUGGGUAUUGGCCAAACAUGGUUACAACGGGUAACGGAGGGUUAGGGCUCGACCCCGGAGAAGGAGCCUGAGAGACGGCUACUACAUCCAAGGAAGGCAGCAGGCGCGCAAAUUACCCAAUCCCGACACGGGGAGGUAGUGACAAUAAAUACUGAUACAGGGCUCUUUCGGGUCUUGUAAUUGGAAUGAGUACAAUUUAAAUCCCUUAACGAGGAACAAUUGGAGGGCAAGUCUGGCC
rnacentral:rRNA from 2 species